rnacentral:tRNA from 2 species
GCCGAAGUGGUGGAACUGGUAGACGCAGCGGACUCAAAAUCCGCCGGGGGCAACUCCAUGAGGGUUCAAGUCCCUCCUUCGGCA